ensembl:lncRNA LINC01595 long intergenic non-protein coding RNA 1595
ACAGGCAGGAAAACAAGAGAAAUUCUUGCUCUUGCCAAGACAGACAUGGGGAAUUUCGAAGGCCCGCCUUCUGAACGUCACCUCGUCCCCUCUUCCUUGGUCCAGUGAGAAGUCCAGAUGCUUCCCUUGGGGAUGCCCAGAACACAGCCUGGGAUGAUGAGGAGAGGCGGGAGAGCUUCCUAGGAGAUGGGCCCUGGAGCACCACCGUCCCUCCCCUAGGCCCAGGAUGUGAUUCUGAAUCUACAGUCAGACUGGACCACCUCUCCCCCAUGCCCCCAGAAUGUCCACAGGGGCUCCCUCGCCUACAAUAGAUGGAUUAGAUUCCUCCCUACUCUUCCCACACUGUCAGAGUCUGACUGGUGUGAAGUUCCGGUGUUUUUGUGUGUAUUUUACUACCAGGGUCGGCUAGAUAAGGAGGAGCUUUCAUUACAUCCUGGAAGUCUGUCCCCCGCACACACGCACAGCCGUCCUCCCUUCCCCCAACAUCUGAUCUAAUUCUCUCUCUGCUUUGCUGAGGCUGGCCUGGCCUAAGAGGAUUAGAGCAUUUGCUAAACGGGACCAGGACAGGCAGGGUCAGAGAACCCGCUGUGGGGAGACCCAGGGCCAGGAUGGCCACUAGGGGGCGGCAGAGGAAGCGAGACGCGGAGAGGGGUGUGGAGUGCUGAGGAGAGGCACUCGUCGGCUUAGCAGCAAUCAAUGUCCACAAAGUAACCAUGAAGUUUUAUUCAUUUUUAAAUUUACAAUGUCCAGCUAAGUUAUGAGAAUUCAAAAGAAUUGAACUAGGUUCCUGGAAACAAAAUAAACAGA